rnacentral:tRNA from 1 species
GGGCCUGUAGCUCAGUUGGAUAGAGCAUCUGCCUUCUAAGCAGAGGGCCGCGUGUUCGAGUCACGCCAGGCUCACCA